rnacentral:rRNA from 1 species
GAUGAACGCUGGCGGCGUGCCUAAUACAUGCCAGUCGAGCGAACGGACGAGAAGCUUGCUUCUCUGAUGUUAGCGGCGGACGGGUGAGUAACACGUGGAUAACCUACCUAUAAGACUGGGAUAACUUCGGGAAACCGGAGCUAAUACCGGAUGAUAUUUUGAACCGCAUGGUUCAAAAGUGAAAGACGGUCUUGCUGUCACUUAUAGAUGGAUCCGCGCUGCAUUAGCUAGUUGGUAAGGUAACGGCUUACCAAGGCAACGAUGCAUAGCCGACCUGAGAGGGUGAUCGGCCACACUGGAACUGAGACACGGUCCAGACUCCUACGGGAGGCAGCAGUAGGGAAUCUUCCGCAAUGGGCGAAAGCCUGACGGAGCAACGCCGCGUGAGUGAUGAAGGUCUUCGGAUCGUAAAACUCUGUUAUUAGGGAAGAACAUAUGUGUAAGUAACUGUGCACAUCUCGACGGUACCUAAUCAGAAAGCCACGGCUAACUACGUG